CCUACGGGAGGCAGCAGUGAGGAAUAUUGGUCAAUGGCCGAGAGGCUGAACCAGCCAAGUCGCGUGAGGGAAGACGGCCCUACGGGUUGUAAACCUCUUUUGUCGGGGAGCAAAGCGCGUCACGUGUGCCUUAUUGAGAGUACCCGAAGAAAAAGCAUCGGCUAACUCCGUGCCAGCAGCCGCGGUAAUACGGAGGAUGCGAGCGUUAUCCGGAUUUAUUGGGUUUAAAGGGUGCGUAGGCGGAGGUGCAAGUCAGCGGUCAAAUUGCGGGGCUCAACCCCGUACAGCCGUUGAAACUGCGUGCCUUGAGUGGGCGAGAAGUAUGCGGAAUGCGUGGUGUAGCGGUGAAAUGCAUAGAUAUCACGCAGAACUCCGAUUGCGAAGGCAGCAUACCGGCGCGCAACUGACGCUCAUGCACGAAGGCGUGGGUAUCGAACAGGAUUAGAUACCCGAGUAGUC
rnacentral:rRNA from 1 species